rnacentral:rRNA from 1 species
GACGAACGCUGGCGGCGUGCCUAAUACAUGCAAGUAGAACGCUGAAGGAGGAGCUUGCUUCUCUGGAUGAGUUGCGAACGGGUGAGUAACGCGUAGGUAACCUGCCUGGUAGCGGGGGAUAACUAUUGGAAACGUUAGCUAAUACCGCAUAAGAGUAGAUGUUGCAUGACAUUUGCUUAAAAGGUGCAAUUGCAUCACUACCAGAUGGACCUGCGUUGUAUUAGCUAGUUGGUGGGGUAACGGCUCACCAAGGCGACGAUACAUAGCCGACCUGAGAGGGGGAUCGGCCACACUGGGACUGAGACACGGCCCAGACUCCUACGGGAGGCAGCAGUAGGGAAUCUUCGGCAAUGGACGGAAGUCUGACCGAGCAACGCCGCGUGAGUGAAGAAGGUUUUCGGAUCGUAAAGCUCUGUUGUAAGAGAAGAACGAGUGUGAGAGUGGAAAGUUCACACUGUGACGGUAUCUUACCAGAAAGGGACGGCUAACUACGUG